rnacentral:tRNA from 6 species
GGAAGCGUGGCAGAGCGGUUGAAUGCAGCAGUCUUGAAAACUGCCGAGGAUGCAAGUCCUCCGUGAGUUCGAAUCUCACCGCUUCCGCCA